rnacentral:rRNA from 1 species
AGGGUUUGAUCCUGGCUCAGAUUGAACGCUGGCGGCAGGCCUAACACAUGCAAGUCGAGCGAGAAAGCACUUCGGUGCGAGUACAGCGGCGGACGGGUGAGUAACGCGUAGGAAUCUACCCAGUAGUGGGGGACAACAGUCGGAAACGGCUGCUAAUACCGCAUACGCCCUAUGGGGGAAAGCGGGGGAUCUUCGGACCUCGCGCUAUUGGAUGAGCCUGCGUCGGAUUAGCUUGUUGGUGAGGUAAAAGCUCACCAAGGCGACGAUCCGUAGCUGGUCUGAGAGGAUGAUCAGCCACACUGGAACUGAGACACGGUCCAGACUCCUACGGGAGGCAGCAGUGGGGAAUAUUGCGCAAUGGGGGCAACCCUGACGCAGCCAUGCCGCGUGUGUGAAGAAGGCCCUAGGGUUGUAAAGCACUUUCAAUUGGGAAGAAAAGCUGCUGGUUAAUAACCAGUAGCCCUGACAUUACCUUUAGAAGAAGCACCGGCUAACUCCGUGCCAGCAGCCGCGGUAAUACGGAGGGUGCGAGCGUUAAUCGGAAUUACUGGGCGUAAAGCGCGCGUAGGCGGUUUGUUAAGUCAGCUGUGAAAGCCCUGGGCUCAACCUGGGAACUGCAGUUGAUACUGAUCGACUAGAGUACGAGAGAGGGAGGUAGAAUUCCACGUGUAGCGGUGAAGUGCGUAGAUAUGUGGAGGAAUACCAGUGGCGAAGGCGGCCUCCUGGCUCGAUACUGA